AGACCCGAAACCCGGUGAUCUAGCCAUGGGCAGGUUGAAGGUUGGGUAACACUAACUGGAGGACCGAACCGACUAAUGUUGAAAAAUUAGCGGAUGACCUGUGGCUGGGGGUGAAAGGCCAAUCAAACCGGGAGAUAGCUGGUUCUCCCCGAAAGCUAUUUAGGUAGCGCCUCGUGAAUUCAUCUCCGGGGGUAGAGCACUGUUUCGGCUAGGGGGCCAUCCCGGCUUACCAACCCGAUGCAAACUGCGAAUACCGGAGAAUGUUAUCACGGGAGACACACGGCGGGUGCUAACGUCCGUCGUGAAGAGGGAAACAACCCAGACCGCCAGCUAAGGUCCCAAAGUCAUGGUUAAGUGGGAAACGAUGUGGGAAGGCCCAGACAGCCAGGAUGUUGGCUUAGAAGCAGCCAUCAUUUAAAGAAAGCGUAAUAGCUCACUGGUCGAGUCGGCCUGCGCGGAAGAUGUAACGGGGCUAAACCAUGCACCGAAGCUGCGGCAGCGACACUCAGGUGUUGUUGGGUAGGGGAGCGUUCUGUAAGCCUGUGAAGGUGUGUCGUGAGGC
rnacentral:rRNA from 4 species